GAAUUCGCCCUUAGAGUUUGAUCCUGGCUCAGGACGAACGCUGGCGGCGUGCUUAACACAUGCAAGUCGAACGAGAAUCUGUGGAUUGAGGAUUCGUCCAAAUGAAACAGAGGACAGUGGCGGACGGGUGAGUAACGCGUGAGGAACCUGCCUUUCAGAGGGGGACAACAGUUGGAAACGACUGCUAAUACCGCAUAAUGCAUAGAAGUCGCAUGGCUUUUAUGCCAAAGAUUUAUCGCUGAAAGAUGGCCUCGCGUCUGAUUAGCUAGUUGGUGAGGUAACGGCCCACCAAGGCGACGAUCAGUAGCCGGACUGAGAGGUUGAACGGCCACAUUGGGACUGAGAUACGGCCCAGACUCCUACGGGAGGCAGCAGUGGGGAAUAUUGGGCAAUGGGCGCAAGCCUGACCCAGCAACGCCGCGUGAAGGAAGAAGGCUUUCGGGUUGUAAACUUCUUUUGUCAGGGAAGAGCAGAAGACUGUACCUGGCGAAUAAGCCACGGCUAACUACGUGCCAGCAGCCGCGGUAAUACGUAGGUGGCAAGCGUUGUCCGGAUUUACUGGGUGUAAAGGGCGUGUAGCCGGGUCGGUAAGUCAGAUGUGAAAUCUACGGGCUCAACUCGUAAACUGCAUUUGAAACUGCUGAUCUUGAGUAUCGGAGAGGCAAUCGGAAUUCCUAGUGUAGCGGUGAAAUGCGUAGAUAUUAGGAGGAACACCAGUGGCGAAGGCGGCUUGCUGGGCUUUUACUGACGCUGAGGCUCGAAAGUGUGGGGAGCAAACAGGAUUAGAUACCCUGGUAGUCCACACUGUAAACGAUGAUUACUAGGUGUGGGGGGUCUGACCCCUUCCGUGCCGCAGUUAACGCAAUAAGUAAUCCACCUGGGGAGUACGACCGCAAGGUUGAAACUCAAAGGAAUUGACGGGGGCCCGCACAAGCGGUGGAUUAUGUGGUUUAAUUCGAAGCAACGCGAAGAACCUUACCAGGGCUUGACAUCCUACUAACGAGAUAGAGAUAUGUUAGGUGCCCUUCGGGGAAAGUAGAGACAGGUGGUGCAUGGUUGUCGUCAGCUCGUGUCGUGAGAUGUUGGGUUAAGUCCCGCAACGAGCGCAACCCCUAUUGUUAGUUGCUACGCAAGAGCACUCUAGCGAGACUGCCGUUGACAAAACGGAGGAAGGUGGGGAGGACGUCAAAUCAUCAUGCCCCUUAUGUCCUGGGCUACACACGUAAUACAAUGGCGGUCAACAGAGGGAUGCAAUCCCGCGAGGAGGAGCAAACCCCUAAAAACGGUCUCAGUUCGGAUUGCAGGCUGCAACUCGCCUGCAUGAAGUUGGAAUUGCUAGUAAUCGCGGAUCAGCAUGCCGCGGUGAAUACGUUCCCGGGCCUUGCACUCACCGCCC
rnacentral:rRNA from 1 species